AUGUAACUCUCAUUGCAGUGUAGUGACAAAGUCUUACCAGCAUGCCUUGGCCUUGGCAUUUGCUGUAAACGAGGUCAACAAGAACCCAAAAAUCUUGCCCAAUGUCACACUUGGGUUCCACAUCUGUGACAGCUACUAUGAUGCAAGGAUGACCUACCGCACCACUCUGGACCAGCUCUUCAAUUCACAUAGAUUUAUCCCCAACUACAAAUGUGGCACUCAGAAAAAACUCAUGGCUGUCAUUGGGGGAAUGAGCUCUGAUAUUUCUUUCCACGUGGCAGACAUCUUAACUCUCUACAAGAUUCCACAGGUAACAUCUGUUCAUGGAGAAGAUAUGCUCUCCUCUUGUCAUCCUGUUACUGCCUUUGUGGUUCAGGAAGAGGCUGAAAACGACUUGCAGAAAAACAAAGCCUUAUUGGAUAUUGAAAAAGCAAGACCCAACUUUUCCAAGAGUAGGACCCCUUCUUUUGCAUGUAAUUAAAUCCCUGAGUUAUAAAAGCUUCUAUAAAGCACCCAGGACAGCUCUGGCACCACUUUCAUUUCUAUGUAAAGAUUCUGGAAAGGUAAGUGAGGGGUUUUUGCCCACCACAAAUUGCAACCCAUCUCUAAACUAUCUGUACAUUUUCUUUCAGCUCACAUUCGGCUCAUUUGCCCCAGAGGAAAGUAGCACAAAGAAUUUCCCUUCCUUUUACCGCAUGGUCCCAAGUGAAACCCAUCAGUACAGUGGGAUUAUCCAGUUGCUUCAACAUUUUGGAUGGACCUGGGUUGGGCUCCUAGCUGCUGCUGAUGACAGUGGAGACCAUUUCUUGCAGAACCUGGAGCCACUGCUUUCUCAGCACGGGAUAUGUUCAGCUUUCACAGAAAGGCUCCAGAAACAAGGACGAUUCAUUUCCCUUGAUAUUCUGAGCGAUAUGGCAUCAAACAUUUAUCAUUCUUUCAUGGAUAGAAAAGCUAGAGCAAUUAUUAUCUAUGGUGAAAGCAUGACCCUUCUGUGGCUGAGCACAUUAGUGCCAAUAGCAGAUCUGGAAUAUGGAGGAAAUAUAUCUGUUGGGAAGGUCUGGAUUACAACAGCCCAGAUUGAUUUUUCAGUAACAGGCUUUAUAACACGUCGUAAUUUUCAAAUAUUCCAGGGGGCUAUUUCUUUUGCUAUACAUGCAAGUGG